AAUAUAAAUUUAAACUUCCGAUUAAUACGGUAGUUGCUGCCACCAGAAAUAGUCUAAGGACUAUUUCGAAGAUAAAAUUUUCUUUUAUUUUAAUUUUUACUUAGUAUUAAAAGAAUUGCUGUGCUACGGGUGCGGUAACGUUACGGCGACUGGCUAUUAUAUUCCACGUUUUUGCUAACCUGCUAUGGGCAGGAGUACUAGCAUGGGAGAGGAUUAAAGUUAUUAAAAUAAAUAACCAAUAUUGGUGUUGGAGAUCGAGAGGGAUUCGAUUCGUCAAAUCCGCGCUUUAAUGAUCGGGUAUCGGCGAACACGAAGGUGAAAGCUGGGCUCGGGGCCUGAUUGAUUUUAAUUCUUCCGUCGGCUUUUCUCUUCUCUUUUAACUUCAACGGCGAUCAAUAUUUUGUACUAACGCUCGGCCCUCCCUUUGUUAAGAUAUCUUUUGUUCUUAUGAUUUUUUUUUGCUUUUGACAUUUAAUAUAAGCAAUAAUCUUGCAA